rnacentral:rRNA from 1 species
CCUACGGGAGGCUGCAGUGGGGAAUAUUGGGCAAUGGGCGCAAGCCUGACCCAGCAACGCCGCGUGAAGGAAGAAGGCUUUCGGGUUGUAAACUUCUUUUGUCAGGGACGAAGCAAGUGACGGUACCUGACGAUUAAGCCACGGCUAACUACGUGCCAGCAGCCGCGGUAAUACGUAGGUGGCAAGCGUUAUCCGGAUUUACUGGGUGGAAAGGGCGUGUAGGCGGGACUGCAAGUCAGAUGUGAAAACCACGGGCUCAACCUGUGGCCUGCAUUUGACACUGUAGUUCUUGAGUACUGGGGAGGCAGACGGAAUGCCUGGUGUAGCGGUGAAAUGCGUAGAGAUUAGGAGGAACACCAGUGGCGAAGGCGGUCUGCUGGACAGCAACUGACGCUGAGGCGCGAAAGCGUGGGGAGCAAACAGGAUUAGAUACCCGAGUAGUC